rnacentral:rRNA from 1 species
UACGGGGGGGGCAAGCGUUGUUCGGAAUUACUGGGCGUAAAGCGCGCGCAGGCGGUCUUCCAAGUCAGUGGUGAAAGCCUGGAGCUCAACUCCAGAACUGCCAUUGAAACUGUUAGACUUGAGUACGAGAGAGGUGAGUGGAAUUCCCAGUGUAGAGGUGAAAUUCGUAGAUAUUGGGAAGAACACCGGUGGCGAAGGCGGCUCACUGGCCCGUAACUGACGCUCAGGCGCGACAGCGUGGGGAUCAAACAGG